AUCCAGAGUCGGGCGCUGUAUUAAAAAACAGCUCCCUCUAUGGCAGACAUGGUGCUUCCCUGAAGUCAAAAGUAGAAAGGGAGAAAGAAGGAUUUUCAUAAAUAUAUUUCAGUAAAUUGAAUGUGAAAUAUUUACUAAUAUAUUGUAUAAUAUAAAGCCCUAGGUACCCUGCCCCCACCAAAAAUGGAGAAAGAAAAAAAGAAACAUUUCAAAAGGCGCAGAACAUGAAAAAUAAUGAAUAACAUAUUCACCGGAGAAUCCUGAGGAGCAAAAUUAUAGGAAAACGUGAUGUUUGCAAAAAGCAGCAGUCCCUACAGAGUGAUCAGACAUCAGAACAUAAGAACCGGGGAACGAAGAGCAGCAUGGGAAGUAAUUACCUCCUUUAAUGUUAGGCUGCGGAGUAUGCAUUGAAGCAGCGAGUCUGGCAGCCAGGACGCAGCUUCAUCUGACGUAUGAUUGAUAUGUACACAAACCCAUAGGAAAGAGGAAGCUGUUACCCCAUCUGCUGCUCAAGUGAGAAUACAAAGCCAUCUGUCGCCCAGAUAUAGCAGACUGGACACAGGAUUGAAAAUAACCACAUGAACACCUUGCCAGAAUCCAAGCAAAGGAACCAGAUUGAUUUUUGAGCCGAGGCAAUGAAUUUUUUGACAUUCCUCCUUUAUAUUUCCAUAUUUUGAUUACAACCUUCAUAUAAAAACAUCAGAUCCUGCUGCUUUAUUCGGUACAAGUCAUACAGUGAUGGACGGCACCAGAUAAACAGAUCAAUAUUACCUGCGCUGACUAAAUAUUUUAUACCCUACUCCAUGCAUUCCCCAGCAUCAUGGAAAAGAAAAGUAAUGACUAGCAAAUGUCAGGUUUCAUAAAACAACUCUUAUACUCUAAUACUUCUUGUUUCUGGAGAUACUGUAUCACCGCUAAAUGGAAGCUUACCCUUGUGAAAUGGAAGUCAGGGAAGUGGGAAAAAAAUUCUUCUCGAGAGUAUUUCAAACAAAGGCAAUAAAACGGCAUCAAGUUCUGGCUGAACCCGGAGGUCAUCAUCAGAGACACCAGAUUCUGAA